CCCUUAGAUGUUCUGGGCCGCACGCGCGCUACACUGAUGUAUUCAACGAGUUUUGCCUUGACCGAGAGGUCCGGGUAAUCUUCGAAAGUGCAUCGUGAUGGGGCUAGAUUAUUGCAAUUAUUAAUCUUCAACGAGGAAUGCCUAGUAAGCGUGAUUCAUCAAAUCGCGUUGAUUACGUCCCUGCCCUUUGUACACACCGCCCGUCGCUCCUACCGAUUGAAUGUGUUGGUGAGGAGUUCGGAUUGGCGACUGGUGGUGGUUCUCCGCUGCCUAUUGCUGAGAAGUUCUCCAAACCGCCCCAUUUAGAGGAAGGAGAAGUCGUANCA
rnacentral:rRNA from 1 species